UACAGAGGGUGCAAGCGUUAAUCGGAAUUACUGGGCGUAAAGCGUGCGUAGACGGUUAUGUAAGUCAGAUGUGAAAGCCCCGGGCUCAACCUGGGAAUUGCAUUUGAGACUGCAUAGCUAGGGUGCGGAAGAGGGAAGCGGAAUUCCUGGUGUAGCGGUGAAAUGCGCAGAUAUCAGGAGGAACACCGAAGGCGAAGGCAGUGUCCUGGCGCGUAUCUGACGCUGAGGUGCGAAAGCCAGGGGAGCGAACGGG
rnacentral:rRNA from 1 species